rnacentral:lncRNA from 1 species
GAGCUAUUCAGUAAGGCCAUUCUACUGCCAAUGUUUGUCUAUGGAGAUUGCAUGACUGUGUGCUUGAUUUAGACACCUGUCAGCAAGGAUGUGGCUGAAAUAGCCGAAUCCACUAAUUUGAAGCAGUGUCCGCAUACUUUUGUAUAUAUAGUGUAUCUGCCUCUCUCGUUCCUUCUCUUUUUAUCUUCUCUUCUUCUCUCCUCUUCUGUUCUCUUCUACCCCCUCUCAGCUCCCUGCCCUCCAGAUGCAGUCAGUGCCGUGGUGGACUGUGCCACCAACAUUGUCACGGUAACCUGGGACAACAGCGUUGCCGAGGUGCUGUACACAGUUACUGCUGAAUGUCCCAGUGGUCAGCACUACACCUGCAACGUCACGGGAAUAGGCUGUGACCUCAGCACCCUGUCAUGUGGCACAGAGUACAAUGUGACUGUCACCCCGUCACGUGGCGGCUGUGUCGGUGUCAACACACCGUCUCAGCUGGUCAAGACAGGUAGGAAUCAAUCAAUCAAUUAGUCAAUCAGUUAGAUGUCUGUAAUAACGUCAGUGACAUUUCUGUAAAUCUGCAUAAAUACUUGUGAACCCGACACACACACAAACACAGACACACUGCUCUCUCUCUCCUUCUAGCGCCCUGCGUACCCCGCCUCACCGAGGUAGAGAUGGACUGUCUAUCAGAUUCCGCCUGGGUGGUAUGGGAGGAGUCAGUGGGUGCCGAGCUUUACGUUGCCGUGGCGACGGACAGCCAGGGGCAGACGUUUGAGUGUAACUCAAUCGACAGUAACACGUGCGCUAUGCCAGAACUGCACUGUGGACAUCACUUUACCUUUACCCUCACCGCCUUAGACCAAAAGUGCUCCAGCGCACCUAGCAACGCUGUGGUGUCCGAGACAGCCCCUUGCCCUCCCCAAGACAUGCAGACCAAGGUGGGCUGUGAGAACCAUACGGUGAGUGUGUCCUGGACCCCCAGCGUGGGAGCUCUAAUGUACACAGCCACCCUGGAGCGCACAGACGGAGAGAUCACCUUCUGCACCACCGAUGGCACAGGAUGUGACAUCACACAGCUGCCCUGCGGAGAGAUGUACGUCCUGGCAGUAACCGCUGAGGGACGCACCUGUAACACCUCCGAGAGCAUGGGGGCUAUUGUCAGAACAGUACCCUGCAUACCCCAGCGUCUGCAGGCCAGUGUGAGCUGCAGCAGUAAUGUGGCCAAUAUGAUGUGGAACACCAGCCGUGGGGGUCAGCUCUACUCUGUAGAGGCUACCGGAACCGACGGACACGUUGCAGGAUGCAUGUCCCAUGACACCCGCUGUGAUCUCACCGGCCUGCACUGCGGCCAGCACUACACCGCCACCAUGGUGGCACGAAACAGUGACUGCACCAGCC